UACGAAGGGGGCUAGCGUUGCUCGGAAUCACUGGGCGUAAAGGGUGCGUAGGCGGGCCUUUAAGUCAGGGGUGAAAUCCUGGAGCUCAACUCCAGAACUGCCUUUGAUACUGAGGAUCUUGAGUACGGGAGAGGUGAGUGGAACUGCGAGUGUAGAGGUGAAAUUCGUAGAUAUUCGCAAGAACACCAGUGGCGAAGGCGGCUCACUGGCCCGGUACUGACGCUGAGGUGCGAAAGCGUGGGGAGCAAACAGG
rnacentral:rRNA from 1 species